rnacentral:rRNA from 1 species
GACGAGGGAUCCUAGCGUUGUUCGGAAUUAUUGGGCGUAAAGCGGGUGUAGGCGGUCUUAUAAGUCAGGUGUGAAAUCCCAGGGCUCAACCCUGGAAGUGCACUUGAUACUGCAAGACUUGAGUGUGGUAGAGGCUACUGGAAUUCCUGGUGUAGUGGUAAAAUACGUAGAUAUCAGGAGGAAUACCGGAGGCGAAGGCGGGUAGCUGGGCCAACACUGACGCUGAGAUCCGAAAGCGUGGGGAUCAAACAGG